GAUUAUCAACUUUCGAUGGUAGGAUAGAGGCCCACCAUGGUCUUGACGGGUAACGGGGAAUUAGGGUUCGAUUCCGGAGAGGGAGCUGAGAAACGGCUACCACACCCAAGGAAGGCAGCAGGCGCGCAAAUUACCCAAUCCCGAUACGGGAAGGUAGUGAUAAUAAAUAACAAUCAGGGGCUCUUUUGGGUCUCGAGAUUGGAAUGAGUACAAUUUAAAACCUUUGACGAGGAACAAUUGGAGGGCAAGUCUGGUAUUAGCAGCCGCGGUAAUUCCAGCUCCAAUAGCGUAUAUUAGUGUUGUUGCGGUUAAAAAGCUCGUAGUUGAAUUUCGGGAUUGGGAUAUAUCGGUCGUGCCUUUAGGGGCAUGAAACGGUGUGUAGCCAAUUUCCCACCUUCUGGUGAGUCGGGAUGCUCUUGGGCGUUUCGAUGAAUCAGGACCUUUACUUUGAAAAAAUUAGAGUGUUUAAAGCGGGCAUUUUUGCUUGAAUACAUUAGCAUGGAAUAAUAAAAUAGGACGAUGGUUUUAUUUUGUUGGUUUUAGGGCCACGUAAUGAUUAAUAGGGAUAGUUGGGGGCAUUAGUAUUCAAUUGUCAGAGGUGAAAUUCUUGGAUUUAUUGAGGACUAACUACUGCGAAAGCAUUUGCCAAGGAUGUUUUCAUUAAUCAAGAACGAAAGUCAGGGGAUCAAAGACGAUUUAUGUACGUCGUAGUCUUAACCAUAAACUAUGCCGACUAGGAAUCAGACAAAGUUCAUUUUUUAACGACUUGUUUGGUACCUUACGGGAAACCAAAGUGUUUGGGUU
rnacentral:rRNA from 1 species